rnacentral:ncRNA from 1 species
GGAGUAGGACUUUAUGCGUAAAGUGCAAACGGAACGGAAUGUGAACGUUUGACGAAAACUACGGUUGCGAUAUAUUGUCCGCAUUCGCC